GCACUGUGGUUCACUGAUUUGAAGAGCUUGCUCUGAUAUGACGAUGAACAUUGCAGUGAGUGGCGAACGGGUGAGUAACACGUGGGAAACCUACCUCUUAGCGGGGGAUAACAUCUGGAAACAGAUGCUAAUACCGCAUAACACUAGCAACCGCAUGGUUGCUACUUGAAAGAUGGUUCUGCUAUCACUAAGAGAUGGUCCCGCGGCGCAUUAGUUAGUUGGUGAGGUAAUGGCUCACCAAGACGAUGAUGCGUAGCCGAGUUGAGAGACUGAUCGGCCACAAUGGGACUGAGACACGGCCCAUACUCCUACGGGAGGCAGCAGUAGGGAAUCUUCCACAAUGGACGAAAGUCUGAUGGAGCAACGCCGCGUGUGUGAUGAAGGGUUUCGGCUCGUAAAACACUGUUGUAAGAGAAGAAUAGCAUCAAGAGUAACUGCUUGGUGUGUGACGGUAUCUUACCAGAAAGGAACGGCUAAAUACGUGCCAGCAGCCGCGGUAAUACGUAUGUUCCAAGCGUUAUCCGGAUUUAUUGGGCGUAAAGCGAGCGCAGACGGUUUUUUAAGUCCGAAGUGAAAGCCCACAGCUUAACUGUGGAAGUGCUUUGGAAACUGGAUGACUUGAGUGCAGUAGAGGAGAGUGGAAUUCCAUGUGUAGCGGUGAAAUGCGUAGAUAUAUGGAGGAACACCAGUGGCGAAGGCGGCUCUCUGGACUGUAACUGACGUUGAGGCUCGAAAGUGUGGGUAGCAAACAGGAUUAGAUACCCUGGUAGUCCACACCGUAAACGAUGAGUGCUAGAUGUUUGGGGGUUUCCGCCCCUAAGUGUCGCAGCUAACGCAUUAAGCACUCCGCCUGGGGAGUACGACCGCAAGGUUGAAACUCAAAGGAAUUGACGGGGACCCGCACAAGCGGUGGAGCAUGUGGUUUAAUUCGAAGCAACGCGAAGAACCUUACCAGGUCUUGACAUCCUUUGACCACGCCAGAAAUGGCGCUUUCCCUUCGGGGACAAAGUGACAGGUGGUGCAUGGUUGUCGUCAGCUCGUGUCGUGAGAUGUUGGGUUAAGUCCCGCAACGAGCGC
rnacentral:rRNA from 1 species